AUGGAUAAAAGUGGAAUACUGGUUCAGACAAAGCUCAUGGACACAUUUGCGAUUGCAAGGGGUAAAGAAAAACAGGAUGUCUCUUUCCCAAUUCCUGAACUAUCUCAUCAGCUGACUCAUCUUCAUUGGGCCUUGGGGAACUAUUUUGGGUUGGGCUUAUGGGGGUUUACCAUUCCUCCCUCCUUCAAACAUUACCUUGUUCUCAAGGUGCAAAGACGUAAAAAAAACUUGCAGAAUGGAUCCCAAUCUUCCUAUGAUGCUUCAUCAGGCGAGCAACUUGCCCACUGUACCAACACCUACUGCAGUGGGUAA